UGUUCCUCCAUCUGUCUGUCCGGCUUCAAGUUUUUGAUGAAGUUGAAGUCCAAUCAACUUGAAACUUAGUACAUGUUCCCUAUGAUAUGAUCUUUCUUAUUUUAUUAUCCAAUUAGAGUUUUGCCCCCAAUUUCAUGGUCCUCUAAACAUAUAAAAAUGAUAGUGCUAGUGGGUCAUCUGUUCACUAUGGACACAUUAUUGUUAUUGAUUUAAAUGCAAAGUAUUAAGAAUAAGUUUCUGAAUUUCACCAGUUGAUAAUUCCCUACAAUUUAAAAUUCAAGAAUUUUGUACAAGUAUGUACCACUUGAAAGUAUAUUUGACAUGGAUGAGAGUUUAGAUGGGGUUUACAAAUUAGAGAAUAACAGGCAAAAUGUACAGAAUAAAGGUAAAAAAAAAAAUAAUAGGGAAAAGAAAAGAAACUAAAACUAAAUAAAUAUUAGAAAAUUUAACAGGGUGCUGAAAUGAAAUAUAAAAAAUAGAGAUUAAAGAAAAACAAUUUAAUAUACAUGUCUUAAAGAAUAAAGAUACAUGUAUACAGAACCCCUAUCUAGACCUUAAUAAAUCAAGCCAUAUAAACACAUAAAUGACAAAUACUCUGAUAAUUGUGAUUAGGUCAGACAGGAGUUUGUCUGCAAAAGACUCAUAAGUAACUCGAUCUCCAAUAAAAAAAAAAUGAAAGGCCAAAUAAUUUACAAAAUUAAAAACUUUGAUAAUCAAGAGAAAAACUGAGAAAGACAUAUAUAUAUCUAUGAUUCAUACAUAAAAUACAAAACUUAGAACCUGAAAUUGAAAAAUUAUAAACAGUCAGGGGCG
rnacentral:lncRNA from 1 species